rnacentral:lncRNA from 1 species
UACAGCUUCACCAACUUCCAGCUCAAUCAAUCAACCACCUCAAAUCCCACCACCACAAGCACCGCCAUAAUUUAACACAGUGCAAUACUGCAAUUCCUCUCCUCUCCUCUCCUCCUCUUUCUCUCUUUCUCUCUUUCUCUCUAGCUUAAUAGAAUGGGCAAUGGCUGGCUCGAAUCAAUAGAACCUGAAGCUUCAUCAAGAAGAACCCGACUGGAAAAUGAACCCAUUUCAAAUCCCAAAAAAUCCAAGCUCAAAUUAUGGUAGGCUCGAAUCAAUUGAGCUUGAAGCUUCA